rnacentral:rRNA from 1 species
GACGAACGCUGGCGGCGUGCUUAACACAUGCAAGUCGUACGGUAAGGCCCUUUCGGGGGUACAUGAGUGGCGAACGGGUGAGUAACACGUGAGUAACCCGCCCACAACUUUGGGAUAACGCUAGGAAACUGGUGCUAAUACUGGAUAUGUGCCCCUGCUGCAUGGUGGGGGUUGGAAAGCUCCGGCGGUUGUGGAUGGACUCGCGGCCUAUCAGCUUGUUGGUGGGGUAGUGGCCUACCAAGGCGGCGACGGGUAGCCGGCCUGAGAGGGUGACCGGCCACAUUGGGACUGAGAUACGGCCCAGACUCCUACGGGAGGCAGCAGUGGGGAAUAUUGCACAAUGGGCGCAAGCCUGAUGCAGCAACGCCGCGUGCGGGAUGACGGCCUUCGGGUUGUAAACCGCUUUCAGCAGGGACGAAGCUUUUUGUGACGGUACCUGCAGAAGAAGCACCGGCUAACUACGUG